rnacentral:rRNA from 1 species
GACGAACGCUGGCGGCGUGCUUAACACAUGCAAGUCGAACGGUGAAGCGAGUGCUUGCACUCGUGGAUCAGUGGCGAACGGGUGAGUAACACGUGAGUAACCUGCCCAUCACUCUGGGAUAAGCACUGGAAACGGUGUCUAAUACUGGAUACGACCAACCCUUGCAUGGGGUGUUGGUGGAAAGAUUUAUCGGUGAUGGAUGGACUCGCGGCCUAUCAGCUUGUUGGCGGGGUAAUGGCCCACCAAGGCGACGACGGGUAGCCGGCCUGAGAGGGUGACCGGCCACACUGGGACUGAGACACGGCCCAGACACCUACGGGAGGCAGCAGUGGGGAAUAUUGCACAAUGGGCGAAAGCCUGAUGCAGCGACGCCGCGUGAGGGAUGACGGCCUUCGGGUUGUAAACCUCUUUCAGCAGGGAAGAAGCGAAAGUGACGGUACCUGCAGAAGAAGCACCGGCUAACUACGUG